GAUGAACGCUGGCGGCGUGCCUAAUACAUGCAAGUCGAGCGAACAGACGAGGAGCUUGCUCCUCUGACGUUAGCGGCGGACGGGUGAGUAACACGUGGAUAACCUACCUAUAAGACUGGGAUAACUUCGGGAAACCGGAGCUAAUACCGGAUAAUAUAUUGAACCGCAUGGUUCAAUAGUGAAAGACGGUUUUGCUGUCACUUAUAGAUGGAUCCGCGCCGCAUUAGCUAGUUGGUAAGGUAACGGCUUACCAAGGCAACGAUGCGUAGCCGACCUGAGAGGUUGAACGGCCACAUUGGGACUGAGACACGGCGCAGACUCCUACGGGAGGCAGCAGUGGGGAAGAUUGCACAAUGGGGGAAACCCUGAUGCAGCGACGCCGCGUGGAGGAAGAAGGUCUUCGGAUUGUAAACUCCUGUUGUUGGGGAAGAUAAUGACGGUACCCAACAAGGAAGUGACGGCUAACUACGUG
rnacentral:rRNA from 1 species